rnacentral:rRNA from 1 species
UGGGGAAUAUUGGACAAUGGGCGAAAGCCUGAUCCAGCCAUGCCGCGUGUGUGAAGAAGGUCUUCGGAUUGUAAAGCACUUUAAGUUGGGAGGAAGGGCAGUAAGCGAAUACCUUGCUGUUUUGACGUUACCGACAGAAUAAGCACCGGCUAACUCUGUGCCAGCAGCCGCGGUAAUACAGAGGGUGCAAGCGUUAAUCGGAAUUACUGGGCGUAAAGCGCGCGUAGGUGGUUCGUUAAGUUGAAUGUGAAAGCCCCGGGCUCAUCCUGGGAACUGCAUCCAAAACUGGCGAGCUAGAGUAGGGCAGAGGGUGGUGGAAUUUCCAGGGUAGCGGUGAAAUGCGUAGAUAUAGGAAGGAACACCAGUGGCGAAGGCGACCACCUGGGAUCAUACUGACACUGAGGUGCGAAAGCGUGGGGAGCAAACAGG